rnacentral:rRNA from 1 species
UGGGGAAUAUUGGACAAUGGGCGCAAGCCUGAUCCAGCCAUGCCGCGUGAGUGACGAAGGUCUUCGGAUUGUAAAGCUCUUUUGGCGGGGACGAUAAUGACGGUACCCGCAGAAUAAGCCCCGGCUAACUUCGUGCCAGCAGCCGCGGUAAUACGAAGGGGGCUAGCGUUGUUCGGAAUUACUGGGCGUAAAGCGCACGUAGGCGGACUUAUAAGUCAGGGGUGAAAUCCCGGGGCUCAACCUCGGAACUGCCUUUGAUACUGUGAGUCUCGAGACCGGAAGAGGUGAGUGGAAUUCCUAGUGUAGAGGUGAAAUUCGUAGAUAUUAGGAAGAACACCAGUGGCGAAGGCGGCUCACUGGUCCGGUUCUGACGCUGAGGUGCGAAAGCGUGGGGAGCAAACAGG